UUCCCUUCCCUUCCCUUCCCUUCCCACACUUAUUCUCUUUUUCUCUAUCUCUGUCUUUCUCUCUCUUCAGGUAGAGUACUGCCCUUCAGCCGCAGUCUCCCUCUAGCAUCUUCCUGGACCAUUUUUUCCUCUGUAAGCUCAGCCCAUGAACAUUCAGGUUUCAGUCCAGCUGGCAGUAAAGUUGGUGCAUGAACAACUCUCAGUCCUCCUGAUAUGCCUGGAGUUGCCUGAAGGAAGAAAGUGUCGCUGUCUGAACAGGGAGCUAGAAGGGAGGAGAGGAAACUAUUUCCCCUGAAUGAACCAUAAGAAGAAGUGUUAUAAUGGCUGAUACUACUCAGUUCUGCAGGCAUCAAAACAACAUUUGGUGAUGGCUUUGUAAAAUUGUGUUUAUCAGCAAAGUUCAGACUUUGUAUCUCGUUGUUUUGGAGGAUAGCUGUUCUAACAAAACCAGAAGCUGUUGCUUGGUUCUUAGAUGCUGCUUAGUUGUAUAACAAGCACUGCCCUUGGCCAAGGGAAAGAGAAGCUGCUUCUGCACAGCAUAACAUGAAAUGAAGUUGAAAAAUGAUCUGCCACUUGUGUGAGUGGUACAAAUUUAUGCAAGCUUUGUCAUGGUCAGCAGGGAAGAUUAAUGGAAGAUGGGACUUGAGUCAAUCAGUGUUGAAACAAACUGAACCAAUUAAUUAAAUGGAAACACUUAGCAGAGCCUGUAUCAAUAAAUACAGAUGAAUAUUGAUGUGGAUCUGUAAGAUUUGGGGCAGAGGAGGAUGAAACAAUGUAGAGAAUAGAAAACAUUUAAAGGGAAAGAGUUUCACAAUGUCUCUGCCACUGAUCAUCUAGAAGGAUUAGGUACUGAUGGGAGGUACUGAGGCUCUAGGGCUUGCACA